UAGGGAAUCUUCCACAAUGGACGCAAGUCUGAUGGAGCAACGCCGCGUGAGUGAAGAAGGUCUUCGGAUCGUAAAGCUCUGUUGUUGGUGAAGAAGGAUAGAGGCAGUAACUGGUCUUUAUUUGACGGUAAUCAACCAGAAAGUCACGGCUAACUACGUGCCAGCAGCCGCGGUAAUACGUAGGUGGCAAGCGUUGUCCGGAUUUAUUGGGCGUAAAGCGAGCGCAGGCGGAAUGAUAAGUCUGAUGUGAAAGCCCACGGCUCAACCGUGGAACUGCAUCGGAAACUGUCAUUCUUGAGUGCAGAAGAGGAGAGUGGAACUCCAUGUGUAGCGGUGGAAUGCGUAGAUAUAUGGAAGAACACCAGUGGCGAAGGCGGCUCUCUGGUCUGCAACUGACGCUGAGGCUCGAAAGCAUGGGUAGCGAACAGGAUUAGAUACCCUGGUAGUCCAUGCCGUAAACGAUGAGCGCUAGGUGUUGGGGACUUUCCGGUCCUCAGUGCCGCAGCAAACGCAUUAAGCGCUCCGCCUGGGGAGUACGACCGCAAAGUUGAAAC
rnacentral:rRNA from 1 species